rnacentral:rRNA from 1 species
ACGCUCGACACCUACUGGAGGCAGCAGUUGGGAAUAUUGGACAAUGGAGGAAACUCUGAUCCAGUGACGCCGCGUGAAGGAAGAAGGUCUUCGGAUUGUAAACUUAUUUUGUCAGGGAAGAAAAAUGACUGUACCUGAAGAAAAAGCACCGGCUAACUACGUGUCAGCAGCCGCGGUAAUCUGAGCGGGCUGGCAAGGC